rnacentral:rRNA from 1 species
UGCUGGUACAAGUGAUGUGGCCGUAGGCGUUAUGUAGUCAUUCUUCAUCAUCUGUCCACUGUACCAGCGAAUGAACGGCAUCGACUAGAGCUGUAAGAGGUAUAUGUACUCAUCCUGUAGGGGUGGAAAUUCCGUUGAUAUCAUGGGGGAGGACCACAAAGCGAAGGCGGUAUACUGGUACAGAUCUGACGCUGAGGCACGAAAGCGUGGGUAGCGAAUGGGAUUAGAUACCCCAGUAGUACACGCCCCUAAACGAUGUUCUCUUGCUUUUCGGAGUAUCGACCCUCUGAGAGGCGACGCUAACGCUAUAAGAGAACCGCCUGGGGAAGUACGGCCGCAAGGCUAAAACUCAAAGGAAUAGACGGGGACUUGCACAAGCGGUGGAUUAUGUGGUUUAAUUCGAUGAUAAACGAAGAACCUUACCAAGGUUAGAAAUACAGGUGAAGACUCGGCGGAAACGUGAGUCGUCCGCAAGGACAGUUGGACAGGUGCUGCAUGGCCGUCGUCAGUUCGUGGCUUGAGUUGUUCCCUUAAGUGGGGAAACGAACGCAACCCUUAUCGUGUGUUACAAGUGUCACACGAGACUGCCCCCGCAAAAGCGCAUAAGAUGUAAAAACAUUUUGUGAAUUUUUGCGGGGGAGGAAGGAGAGGAUGACGCCAGGUCAGCAUGGCCCUUGAUACCUUGGGCUACACACAUAAUACAAUGGCAUAUACAACAGGUCGCGACGGGGUAACCCUGAGCCAAUCCUUAGAAAGUAUGCCUCAGUUCGGAUUGGGGGGUGAAACUCGACCCCACGAAGUUGGAAUCGCUAGUAAUCGCGGGUCAGAUAUACCGCGGUGAAUACGUUCUCAAGUCUUGUACUCACCGCCCGUCAAUUCAAGGGAGCUGGUAGUACCCGAAGGCUCAUCAUACGGUGGGACUACGGUAAGAUCAGUGACAGGGAAUAAGUCGUAACAAGGUAACC